UACAGAGGUCCCAAGCGUUGUUCGGAUUCAUUGGGCGUAAAGGGUGUGUAGGUGGCGCCGUAAGUCGGGUGUGAAAUUUCGGAGCUUAACUCCGAAACUGCAUUCGAUACUGCCGUGCUUGAGGACUGGAGAGGAGACUGGAAUUCAUGGUGUAGCAGUGAAAUGCGUAGAGAUCAUGAGGAAGACCAGUGGCGAAGGCGGGUCUCUGGACAGUCUGACACUGAGGCACGAAGGCCAGGGGAGCAAACGGGG
rnacentral:rRNA from 1 species